rfam:Triticum aestivum genome assembly, contig: Triticum_aestivum_CS42_TGACv1_scaffold_592629_7BS
UAAAUACUCCCUCCGUCCGGAAAUACUUGUCAUCAAAAUGGAUAAAAGGGGAUGUAUCUAGAUGUAUUUUAGUUCUAGAUACAUCUUUUUUUAUCCGUUUUGAUGACAAGUAUUUUCGAACAGAGGGAGUACUGA